GGGGUCACGAAGAGUCGGACACGACUAAACAACUAAAUAACAAAAAGUCACCCAGUUACCAUUGUGCAAGUGGAAAAAUAAUGGCCGCAUGCGCUGGCCGAACUCCCAUUGGCCAGGAUAGUCUGAAGCAGGGAAUCUGCCCUCCAAGCACUUGAUCAGCACAUGACUUCGAACCUUGAUCUUGCACCCUUCUAAAUCAGCAGGGCCAGUCCACGCCAGGUGAGGCAACCGCCUCAGGCGGCAGGAUCCCAGGGGCACCAGAUCCUGAUCUUCCCCACCCCUUGGUUCACUCACCCAUUGUUCCCUGGUGGGGAGGGUGCCAUUUUGGGGCUUGCCUCAGGUGCCAAAAUGUCUUGGGUAAUCAUGGGAGGCUGUGCAUGCGCAGCAGCAGCAGCAGCCCUCAUAGGGCAGCUAGGAGGUGGGGUGUGCAGCCCAUGGGGUGAUCUCUGCCCAAUAGGGGCUGUAGCUGGUGAACCAGCCGUAACUGGAAAUAUGCACCCCUAGCCACGUGGGCCUCAUAUGGCAAUGCUGGAUCCAGGAGUAUCCUCAAGCCACAAACCUGUCCUUCUAGGGGAGUGCAGUCUCAUCCAGAAAGGGCUUUAUUUUCACCUCCUGGGCUCAAGAACAUGGAACACAUAAUAACGCCUCUGUUUUUUCCUUCCAGGAUUCAGCCCAUCACUGCCCCUCUAACGCCUUCCUAGCACCUGAGCUGCC